GACGAACGCUGGCGGCGUGCUUAACACAUGCAAGUCGAACGGAAAGGCCUGCUUUCCCUUGUGGAUUGCGGGUACUCGAGUGGCGAACGGGUGAGUAACACGUGAGUGAUCUGCCCCCAACUUGGGUAUAAGCCUGGGAAACUGGGUCUAAUUCCCGAUAGGACUGCAGGGUGGUGCCUGUGGUGGAAAACGAUUUUCUAGUGGUUGGGGAUGAGCUCGCGGCCUAUCAGCUUGUUGGUGGGGUAAUGGCCUACCAAGGCGGCGACGGGUAGCCGGCCUGAGAGGGUGGACGGCCACAUUGGGACUGAGAUACGGCCCAGACUCCUACGGGAGGCAGCAGUGGGGAAUAUUGCACAAUGGACGGAAGCCUGAUGCAGCGACGCCGCGUGGGGGAUGACGGCCUUCGGGUUGUAAACUCCUUUCGACCGCGAGGAAGCCACCUGGUUGGAAGGGUGGUGACGGUAGUGGUAGAAGAAGCACCGGCUAACUACGU
rnacentral:rRNA from 1 species